rnacentral:lncRNA from 10 species
GAACUCAACUCUAUGCUACCUUAGCCUUGGGACCACAUCUCCAUGGUGUUUUGGUAAAAUUUCCAUGGUCUGUGAUAUCGUAUCAUGUAUCUACUUGACACAUUUGUUGAUUGAUGGUAAAAUAUCAUCAUAAUACGGUGGAGACAAUGACUCCAAGGGCAAUGUGAUUACCAGUAAGAUAAUUUCCUUGUAAGAAGAAAGAACAUUUAUAUAGUUAUAAAUUCAGCCUGAACAAAUGAUAUAACUCGUGGAUGUUUUUCCCCAGCUGUCAAGCUUUAACAAAAUUUGAGUGAAGCUUUAUUUCUCUAAAAAGAAACACAAGAUAGGCAAGAUGCAAAGAAUGGUCAGAGGGAAGAGGGAAGUUAAAAUGAAGGUGAUUGCCGCUCUGACAUCGUAACUACACUUGUGAAGGCAAUGAUAAUUUACUGUGGUUUUUACCAUGAAAGAGAAAUGCCAGGGAUCCACUUUCUGAAUAAGACUGCUUCAGGCAACCACCAUUUUACUCUAUGUCUCUACGGAUUUGGCUGCCAUAAGUGCCUCACGUUCCAGCUAGCCCAAUGAGGGAAGAAAAAAACUUAAAAUGGAGUAAGAGGAAGGAAAAGGACAAUAAUAAAAAACUCAAGCAGAACAGAGCCCUCAGAAAUAAUGCCGCAUAUCUACAACCAUCUGAUCUUUGACAAACCUGAAAAAAAAAGAAAUGGGGAAACGAUUCCCUAUUUAAUAAAUGGUACUGGGAAAACUGGCUAACUGUAUGUAGAAAGCUGAAACUGGAUCCCUUCCUUACACCUUAUACAAAAAUUAAUUCAAGAUGGAUUAAAGACUUAAAUGUUAGACCUAAAACCAUAAAAACCCUAGAAGAAAACCUAGACAAUACCAUUCAGGACAUAGGCAUGGGCAAGGACUUCAUGUCUAAAACACCAAAAGCAAUGGCAAC